UGGGGAAUUUUGGACAAUGGGCGCAAGCCUGAUCCAGCUAUUCCGCGUGUGGGAUGAAGGCCCUCGGGUUGUAAACCACUUUUGUAGAGAACGAAAAGACACCUUCGAAUAAAGGGUGUUGCUGACGGUACUCUAAGAAUAAGCACCGGCUAACUACGUGCCAGCAGCCGCGGUAAUACGUAGGGUGCGAGCGUUAAUCGGAAUUACUGGGCGUAAAGGGUGCGCAGGCGGUUGAGUAAGACAGAUGUGAAAUCCCCGAGCUUAACUCGGGAAUGGCAUAUGUGACUGCUCGACUAGAGUGUG
rnacentral:rRNA from 1 species